CUCUGGUGAAAUCAAUAUUGCAACCAUUCUCCUCUCCUCGGAUGACAUCCCCAAAAUAUCAUCCUUACUAUCCUCCUCCUUCUUCAGAACUUGAGCCUCAAAGAAAAUCAAUUUGGAAUUAAGUCUUCAGGACAAAGAGAAGUAAUUAGGGAGACUAAGUAGAAAGGUAUCAGUGGGUCCAAUCACAAUUACUUCCAAGCCUGCUGUUGCUUAGACGAAAGCCACCAGCUCACAGUGAAGUCAGAGAGGACAGCGCUUCAGAAAAAGCACUAUCUGAUAACCUUCGCCUCUUUUACCCAGGCACAGAAAAAGAUGAAGAGUAAUGGGUUACAAGCAGGAUAAAUCUUCAGACUUCUGUAGCCAGACAGGGGUCAUCUUCCCUGGAUGUGGCUCCAGUUCAAGUAUCUCAUUGCUCGUAAGAGAUGCCACAGCGCCCCGGCCCUGGAAUCAGACGCCCGAGGCUUUUAUCUCAAUGGUCCCACCAGCCAGCUCAGUGACUCUGGGAGGCAGCCUCUCAGUUUGCAUCCAAAGCCUAAGUAUUUUCCCUGCACUUUGACCUGGCAAUUCUACUGAUAGGAAUCUGUAAUAAGAAGACAAAUAAUGAUGUUCACAGUGAUUCGUGCACAAGGUUGUUCUUGGCAGCAUUAUUUACGAAAACAAAAAUUUUAGUAAGAACUGAGUAACCAACAGUGUGAAACUAGUUCAAAGAAUUAGUCUAGGUCAUCCAAAAAAAUUCAGACUCUAAUACAGUACAGUAGUGGUUGUUUAAGGACAGUGAAAAUGUUCACAAAUGUUAAGUACAAAAAGAAUAU